rnacentral:snRNA from 14 species
AUGUUUAAUAAAAAAAAAAAAAAGGUUUUCCCAGCGCGCGGCUCACCCCUCGCAUUCCGGGCUUGCUGAUCCCUGCGAUUUCCCCAAAUGUGGGAAACUCGACUGUGUAAUGUGUGGCAGUGGGGGACUGCGUUCACGCUUUCCACUG